UGAGGAAUAUUGCGCAAUGGGCGAAAGCCUGACGCAGCGACGCCGCGUGGAGGAUGAAGGCCUUUGGGUCGUAAACUCCUGUUAAGUGGGAAGAAAGGUUUGUUAUUAAUACCAGCAAAUUAUGACGGUACCAUUAAAGAAAGCACCGGCUAACCUCGUGCCAGCAGCCGCGGUAAUACGAGGGGUGCAAGCGUUAUUCGGAUUAAUUGGGCGUAAAGGGUGCGUAGACUGUAUGUUAAGUUCGUUGUUAAAUUCUCCGGCCUAACCGGAGGCAAGCAAUGAAAACUGGCGUACUAGAGGGUGGGAGAGAGAAGUGGAAUUCCCGGAGUAGCGGUAAAAUGCGUAGAUCUCGGGAGGAACACCAAUAGCGAAGGCAGCUUCUUGGCCCAUUCCUGACGUUGAGGCACGAAAGCGUGGGGAGCAAACAGG
rnacentral:rRNA from 1 species